AUGUCUGUGGUACCUACCACCUAAUCACUCGCAGACUAGCUGACCGCAGAGGGAGAGCCCGAUCAGUUCAGCAACAAGUACAACCAGCAGACCAAGCCCCUCAUCCUGGAGCACACCAUCAAAUUGUAUCCUAUUAUCAAUUAUACUUUUGGUACAAAAGAGCCCCUCUAUGAGAAAGACAGCUCUGUCUCAUCCAGAUUUCAGCAAAUGAGGGAAGAAUUGGAUAAAAUUGGAAUGAGGAGUAACAUAGCAGGGGAUUCUGAUUGUUUACAAGCACUGGUGUGGCUACUCUAUGUAUUACUGCUACUGCUGGGAGCAACUUUCUUCAAGUUCCUGAUGGUGAACUUAGCCCAGGAAAAGGUGAAGUUGAAGGACUAAAAUGCUUAAUGACUGGGAUACUGAGUCAUCAAGAUGGAGUUCUGAAAGAUGCAAGACUGGGUCAUACUGCAUUGGUAACUGGUGGAGACCAAAUAUCCAUAUAUUCCUGCAUAUAUUACAAAGCCUAAGGAACAUAAGAAGUUGUUUCUGGCUCAACUUCAAGAAAAAGCCUUGUUUGCAAUCUCUAAAAAUUACAAGCUCAUAGCUACACCAUUGUUUGAAUUGUAUAACAAUGCACUAGGGUAUGGACCUAUUGUUUGCAGUCUCCCUCAGCUGUUGAGCAGUUUCAAAUUUAUAUACAAU
rnacentral:lncRNA from 1 species